rfam:Alphaproteobacteria bacterium MedPE-SWcel Alphaproteobacteria-MedPE-SWcel-C12, whole genome shotgun sequence.
UGGGACCUUCGGGGCCCUAUAAACCACGGUCACCUGAACCCGUCUGCACUUGUGAUACGUCACGCAGAUCAGGCAGGGGGCUUUAACAUAGCGGAUCCGAUGGCACCUUGCCGCAUGGAUCUGCAACGGUGAGGCAACUCAUCGUAGCUAAACGGAAGACAGAAA